rnacentral:rRNA from 1 species
CCCUUCGGGGUACUCGAGUGGCGAACGGGUGAGUAACACGUGGGUGAUCUGCCCUGCACUUUGGGAUAAGCCUGGGAAACUGGGUCUAAUACCGAAUAGGACUACGCGAUGCAUGUCGUGUGGUGGAAAGCUUUUGCGGUGUGGGAUGGGCCCGCGGCCUAUCAGCUUGUUGGUGAGGUUACGGCUCACCAAGGCGACGACGGGUAGCCGGCCUGAGAGGGUGACCGGCCACACUGGGACUGAGAUACGGCCCAGACUCCUACGGGAGGCAGCAGUGGGGAAUAUUGCACAAUGGGCGCAAGCCUGAUGCAGCGACGCCGCGUGAGGGAUGACGGCCUUCGGGUUGUAAACCUCUUUCGCCAGGGACGAAGCGCAAGUGACGGUACCUGGAGAAGAAGGACCGGCCAACUACGUGCCAGCA